UGGGGAAUUUUGGACAAUGGGCGAAAGCCUGAUCCAGCAAUGCCGCGUGUGUGAAGAAGGCCUUCGGGUUGUAAAGCACUUUUGUCCGGAAAGAAAUCCUUGGCUCUAAUACAGUCGGGGGAUGACGGUACCGGAAGAAUAAGCACCGGCUAACUACGUGCCAGCAGCCGCGGUAAUACGUAGGGUGCAAGCGUUAAUCGGAAUUACUGGGCGUAAAGCGUGCGCAGGCGGUUUGCUAAGACCGAUGUGAAAUCCCCGGGCUCAACCUGGGAACUGCAUUGGUGACUGGCAGGCUAGAGUAUGGCAGAGGGGGGUAGAAUUCCACGUGUAGCAGUGAAAUGCGUAGAGAUGUGGAGGAAUACCGAUGGCGAAGGCAGCCCCCUGGGCCAAUACUGACGCUCAUGCACGAAAGCGUGGGGAGCAAACAGGAUUAGAUACCCUGGUAGUCCACGCCCUAAACGAUGUCAACUAGUUGUUGGGGAUUCAUUUCCUUAGUAACGUAGCUAACGCGUGAAGUUGACCGCCUGGGGGAGUACGGUCGCAAGAUUAAAACUUAAUGAAUUGACGGGGUCAUAGCUGUUUCCU
rnacentral:rRNA from 1 species